CUGUCAUACUGUCAUACUGUCAUACUGUGAUACUGUGAUACUGUGAUACUGUGAUACUGUGAUACUAUACAUCUACAAGUACCGCUGCUACAAGGUCAGCAUACUGUCAUACUGUCAUACUGUGAUACUGUGAUACUGUGAUACUGUGAUACUAUACAUCUACAAGUACCACUGCUACAAGGUCAGCAUACUGUGAUACUGUGAUACUAUACAUCUACAAGUACCACUGCUACAAGGUCAGCAUACUGUGAUACUAUACAUGUACAAGUACCACUGCUACAAGGUCAGCAUACUGUGAUACUGUGAUACUAUACAUCUACAAGUACCACUGCUACAAGGUCAGCAUACUGUCAUACUGUCAUACUGUGAUACUGUGAUACUGUGAUACUGUGAUACUGUGAUACUAUACAUCUACAAGUACCACUGCUACAAGGUCAGCAUACUGUGAUACUGUGAUACUAUACAUCUACAAGUACCACUGCUACAAGGUCAGCAUACUGUCAUACUGUCAUACUGUGAUACUGUGAUACUGUGAUACUGUGAUACUAUACAUCUACAAGUACCACUGCUACAAGGUCAGCAUACUGUCAUACUGUCAUACUGUGAUACUGUAAUACUGUGAUACUAUACAUCUACAAGUACCACUGCUACAAGGUCAGCAUACUGUGAUACUAUACAUGUACAAGUACCACUGCUACAAGGUCAGCAUACUGUGAUACUGUGAUACUAUACAUCUACAAGUACCACUGCUACAAGGUCAGCAUACUGUCAUACUGUCAUACUGUGAUACUGUGAUACUGUGAUACUGUAAUACUGUGAUACUAUACAUCUACAAGUACCACUGCUACAAGGUCAGCAUACUGUGAUACUAUACAUGUACAAGUACCACUGCUACAAGGUCAGCAUACUGUCAUACUGUCAUACUGUGAUACUGUGAUACUGUGAUACUGUAAUACUGUGAUACUAUACAUCUACAAGUACCACUGCUACAAGGUCAGCAUACUGUCAUACUGUCAUACUGUGAUACUGUGAUACUGUGAUACUGUAAUACUGUGAUACUGUGAUACUAUACAUCUACAAGUACCACUGCUACAAGGUCAGCAUACUGUGAUACUAUACAUGUACAAGUACCACUGCUACAAGGUCAGCAUACUGUGAUACUGUGAUACCGUCAUACUAUACAUAUACAUAUACAAGUACCACUGCUACAAGGUCAGCAUACUGUGAUACUGUACAUGUACAAGUACCACUGCUACAAGGUCAGCAUACUGUGAUACUGUACAUGUACAAGUACCACUGCUACAAGGUCAGCAUACUGUGAUACUGUGAUACCGUCAUACUAUACAUAUACAUAUACAAGUACCACUGCUACAAGGUCAGCAUACUGUGAUACUGUUGUGUGUGUGUGUGUGUG